GGGGCAACGGCGCGUAAGCCGCCCGGUGGAUGGCUCGGCUCGGGCGCCGACGAAGGGCGUGGCAAGCUGCGAUAAGCCCGGGGGAGGCGCACGCAGCCGUCGAACCCGGGAUCCCCGAAUGGGACUUCCUGCCGGGGGCGAACAGCCCCCGGCGCGGGGAGAACCCGCGGGAACCCCCCGAACGGAAACAUCUUAGUAGGGGGAGGAAGAGAAACCACCACGGGAUCCCCCGAGUAGGGGCGACCGAAAGGGGGGUAGCCCAAACCAAUUCCCCACGGGAUAACCGUGGGGAGAUGAGGGGUGGAUGCCCCGCGGCUCCCCCUCGAGGGGAGGGGCCCGACCCUCGGUACCCGAACUCCGGUGGAAGUCCGGGGCCGUAGAGGGUGACAGCCCCGUAGGGGAAACCGAGGGGGGCCCUGCCGCGGGGAUGAGUACCACGGCUUGGUAUUGCCGUGGGAAGCUGGGUGGCACCAGCAUCCAAGGCUAAACACGUCCCGAGACCGAUAGCGAACUAGGUACCGUGAGGGAAAGCUGAAAAGCACCCCUGGCGGGGGGUGAAAAGAGCCUGAAACCGGGCGGUCACACAGGGUGCGGCCCGCAAGGGAUGAAGCCCCGGAAGGAAACCCGGGCGACCGGGGAGUACGUUCGGGUGCAGACCGGGGUCGCACCUUUCGUCUUGAAACACGGGCCGGGGAGUGCACGGCCGUGGCGAGGCUAAGGGGUUCACCCCCGUAACCGCAGGGAAACCGACGAGCCCGCAGGGGCUCAUGCCCCGAGGGGCGGGGUCCGCAAGGGCCCGGAGUCACGGUCGUGCGACCCGAAACCGGGCGAUCUAGGCGGGGGCAGGGUGAAGCCGGGCGAAAGCCCGGUGGAGGCCCGCAAGGGUUCUGACGUGCAAUUCGUUCCCCUGACCUCCGCCUAGGGGUGAAAGGCCAAUCUAGCUCGGUGAUAGCUGGUUCCCGCCGAAGUGGGUCUAAGCCCAGCGUCCCCGGAGGCGGGCCACGGGGUAGAGCUACUGAUGGGAGGUGCAGGGGGGCGUAGGCCCCCCGGCCUCCCGUCAAACUCCGAACCCGUGGCCGCCGUAGAAGGGGGCAGUGGGGCGCCCCGGGGUAAGCCCGGGGGCCGAGAGGGGAACAACCCAGACCGGGGUUAAGGCCCCCAAGUGCCGGCUAAGUGCCAACCGAAAGGGCGUCUCGGGCCUCAGACAGCGGGGAGGUGGGCCUAACAGCAGCCACCCUCUAAGGAGUGCGUAACAGCUCACCCGCCGAGGCCCGAGGCCCCGAAGAUUGGUCGGGGCUUAAGCCGGCCGCCGAGACCCCGGGCCCCCCUCCCGGUGGGAGGGGGUGCGGUAGGCGGGCGUCGGGGCGGCCCAGAAGGCGGGCCGUGAGGUCCGCUGGAGCCGCUCCGAGUGCCGAUCCCGGCGGUAGUAACAGCGAAGAGGGGUGAGAAUCCCCUCCGCCGGAAAGGGCAAGGGUUCCCCGGCAACUGUCAUAGGCCGGGGGUGAGUCGGUCCUAACCCGCCUCCCAACUGGAGCGCGGGGAAAGGGAAGCCGGUUAAUAUUCCGGCACCGCGGGGGUAGGUGCGGCAACGCAAGCCCCACCUCCGACGCCUCGGGGUAGGCGGACCGGGGCUGUCGCCCCGGCUAACCGUCCGAAGGCCCUGGAGGGCCGUAACGGCGAGAAGGGGCCGAAGGCGGGAAGGGGCCCCCGUAUGGGGGCUUCCGCCGAUCCCUGGGGCCCAUGAAAAGGGGGUGGGGAACGAUCCCCCGCGCCCGUACCGAGAACCGACGCAGGUGCCCCUGGGUGAGAAGCCCAAGGCGGCUGGGGGUUAACCCGGGCCAGGGAACUCGGCAAAUUGGCCCCGUAACUUCGGGAGAAGGGGUGCCUGCGGUCCUGGGGCCCACCCCUGGGACCGCAGGUUGCAGUGCCUAGGGGGGCCUGACUGUUUAAUAAAAACAUAGGUCCCCGCAAGCCCGAAAGGGUGUGUACGGGGGCCGAAUCCUGGCCACUGGCGGUCCGUGAAACCGGGGUUCAACCCGGCGAAGCGCCGCUGAAGGCCGGGAGUAACUCUGACUCUCUUAAGGUAGCCAAAUGCCUUGCCGGGUAAGUUCCGGCGCGCAUGAAUGGAUCAACGAGGUCCCCACUGUCCCGGCCCGGGGCCCCGUGAACCCCCUGAGCCGGUGCACAGUCCGGCAACCCCCCGUAGGGAGAGAAGACCCCGUGGAGCUUUACUGCAGCCCGGCGUUGCCCCCCGGGUGGGGGUGCGUAGCGUAGGUGGGAGCCGGUGAACCGGCCCCUCCGGGGGUCGGGGAGGCGCCCAUGAAACACCACCCACCCUCACCCGGGGGGCUUACCCCGGGGGAAGCCCGGGGGACAGCGCCGGGUGGGCAGUUUGGCUGGGGCGGCACGCCCGCGAGAGGGUAACACGGGCGCCCUAAGGUCGGCUCAGGCGGGUCAGAAACCCGCCGUAGAGUGCAAGGGCAAAAGCCGGCCUGACCGGACCCCUAAAGGCAGGGGGUCCGGCCGGGAAACCGCGGCCUAGCGAACGCUCGUGUCCCCCCUGGUGGGGGCCGGGCAUGACAGAAAAGUUACCCCGGGGAUAACAGAGUCGUCGCGGGCGAGAGCCCACAUCGACCCCGCGGUUUGCUACCUCGAUGUCGGCUUUUCCCAUCCUGGGGGUGCAGCAGCCCCCAAGGGUGGGGCUGCCCGCCCAUUAAAGGGGAACGUGAGCUGGGUUUAGACCGUCGUGAGACAGGUCGGACUCUACCCACGGGGGGUGUCGGCCGCCUGAGGGGAAGGUGCCCUCAGUACGAGAGGAACGGGGCGCCCCGGCCUCUGGUGUACCGGUUGUCCGGCAGGGCAGAGCCGGGCAGCUACGCCGGAAGGGGUAACCGCUGAAAGCAUCUAAGCGGGAACCCCACCCCGAAAAGAGGCGGCCAUUGAGGGCUCCCGUAGAAGACGGGGUUGAUGGGGCGGGGGUGUAAGCCCCGAGGGGUUUCCCGAGGGGCGAGCCCGCCGCUCCCAAUCGCCCGAGGCCGUUAGCCU
rfam:Ignicoccus hospitalis KIN4/I, complete genome.